UAAAGUGUACAUUACAUGCCUGUACUGAAGUUCUUUAAUAACAAGGUCAUGUUGAAUGUUACACCAUGUAAGAAGGUUAGGCGAAUCUGAACACCACGAAAAAUUGUGAACAGCGUUAUGUCAAAAGAAGCAUGUUGAGGGUUAGUCUCCAUUUUUACUGAAGCCUGGGAAUUCCGACUUGCAGAAGCAAUUUGUAGUCGAUAUACCAGAUGCAUGAUGUUUGGAGAGAAACCAGGUUAAGGCAGCAAAUCAAGCAUGUUGAGGGUUAUUCUCCAUUUUUACUGAAGCCAGGGAAUUCUGACUUGCAGAAGCAAUUUGUAGUCGAACACCAAAUGCAUGAUGUUUGGAGAGAAACCAGGUUAAGGCAGCAAGUGGGGUUCUUGUGGCGAUUAUCUCAUUCAGUGAAUGACUGUAAUCAAGUCAUACUGUGUAGUGUAUUAGUGUAGCACUUGUUCUGCAGUAUGCGCACGCAGAUGUUAAUUGUCACCCUCCUUUGUUAUUAUUAUUGAUCUUUUGGUUCAAUAUUCUGGCCAUGUAUUUCCAUUUUUCUUUGUUAUAUUGAAUAAAAUAAAGUUUCCCCCCCUCAUUUACCACCCCUGAUGCUAUUUAUAAU
rnacentral:lncRNA from 1 species